GAAGCGGCAACAGCUCAAAUUUGAAAUCUGGCGCAAGCCCGAGUUGUAAUUUGCAGAGGAUGCUUCUGGGCAGCGGCCGGUCUAAGUUCCUUGGAACAGGACGUCAUAGAGGGUGAGAAUCCCGUAUGCGACCGGUUGGCACCCGUCACGUAGCUCCUUCGACGAGUCGAGUUGUUUGGGAAUGCAGCUCUAAAUGGGUGGUAAAUGUCAUCUAAAGCUAAAUACCGGCCAGAGACCGAUAGCGCACAAGUAGAGUGAUCGAAAGAUGAAAAGUACUUUGGAAAGAGAGUUAAAAAGCACGUGAAAUUGUUGAAAGGGAAGCGCAUGCAACCAGACUUGUCCGCGGUGUUCCGCCGGUCUUCUGACCGGUCUACUCGCCGUGGGCAGGCCAGCAUCGUCUGGGUGCGCCGGAUAAAGGCGUAGGGAAUGUAGCCCCUCGGGGUGUUAUAGCUCUACGCACAAUACGGCGCCGCCCGGGCGAGGUCCGCGCUUCGGCUAGGAUGCUGGCGUAAUGGUUGUCUGCGGCCCGUCUUGAAACACGGACCAAGGAGUCUAACAUCUAUGCGAGUGUUCGGGUGUCAAACCCCUACGCGGAAUGAAAGUGAACGGAGGUGGGAGCCCUCGGGCGCACCAUCGACCGAUCCUGAUGUCUUCGGAUGGAUUUGAGUAAGAGCAUAGCUGUUGGGACCCGAAAGAUGGUGAACUAUGCCUGAAUAGGGUGAAGCCAGAGGAAACUCUGGUGGA
rnacentral:rRNA from 1 species